rnacentral:rRNA from 1 species
GACGAACGCUGGCGGCGUGCCUAAUACAUGCAAGUUGAGCGCUGAAGGUUUGUACUUGUACCAACUGGAUGAGCAGCGCACGGGUGAGUAACGCGUGGGGAAUCUGCCUUUGAGCGGGGGACAACAUUUGGAAACGAAUGCUAAUACCGCAUAAAAACUUUAAACACAAGUUUUAAGGUUGAAAGAUGCAAUUGCAUCACUCAAAGAUGAUCCCGCGUUGUAUUAGCUAGUUGGUGAGGUAAAGGCUCACCAAGGCGAUGAUACAUAGCCGACCUGAGAGGGUGAUCGGCCACAUUGGGACUGAGACACGGCCCAAACUCCUACGGGAGGCAGCAGUAGGGAAUCUUCGGCAAUGGACGAAAGUCUGACCGAGCAACGCCGCGUGAGUGAAGAAGGUUUUCGGAUCGUAAAACUCUGUUGGUAGAGAAGAACGUUGGUGAGAGUGGAAAGCUCAUCAAGUGACGGUAACUACCCAGAAAGGGACGGCUAACUACGUG